rnacentral:rRNA from 1 species
CCUACGGGAGGCAGCAGUGAGGAAUAUUGGUCAAUGGACGAGAGUCUGAACCAGCCAAGUAGCGUGAAGGAUGACUGCCCUAUGGGUUGUAAACUUCUUUUAUAUGGGAAUAAAACGUUCCACGUGUGGGAUUUUGUAUGUACCAUAUGAAUAAGGAUCGGCUAACUCCGUGCCAGCAGCCGCGGUAAUACGGAGGAUCCGAGCGUUAUCCGGAUUUAUUGGGUUUAAAGGGAGCGUAGGUGGAUUUUUAAGUCAGUUGUGAAAGUUUGCGGCGUAACCGUAAAAUUGCAGUUGAAACUGGCAGUCUUGAGUACAGUAGAGGUGGGCGGAAGUCGUGGUGUAGCGGUGAAAUGCUUAGAUAUCACGAAGAACUCCGAUUGCGAAGGCAGUUCACUGGACUGCAACUGACACUGAGGCUCGAAAGUGUGGGUAUCAAACAGGAUUAGAUACCCCAGUAGUC